rnacentral:lncRNA from 1 species
UUCUCAUAUGAGAAAUACCAACCGAUUGCAAAGAAGCUAAAGUAAAACCUUAAAAGCAAGUCAAAAUAGACUUUGUUUUCCUUUUAGUUGACAAAUAAUUGUAUGUAUCUGUAUGGGACCGUGUGCAGCUAGGACACCUCUAUACACUGUGGAACGCUGAAGUGAUAACCAUCAACCCACCUGCAACCUCAAUGCUUAUUGUUCCUGAUGAAAGCCUUUAAAAUCUCUGGCUGACUUAAAAUGCACAGUGGGUUGUUAUUAACUAUUGCCCUCAUGUCUUGCAACAAAACAUUACAAUCUAUUUCUCCUGGCUGACACUUGCUACUCUCUAACAAUUCUUUUCAGCACAAAGCAAUUAACAGAGUCAUUUGCUGCCCGCCCAUUCAACUUUUCCUCCUGGGUAAACAUGUUACAAAAAGCCACUAUCAGCACCUGUAGUUCUGGAAUCUGCAAGGACAUCAGGUCAUUUACAUCUCUGUCUCACUUUGUUUCGGGUACUAGGUAGAUUUCAUUAACCAAAGGAGCCCUGCUUCAUUCUGGUCCCUUAUGGCUUGUAUGUGCUGAUGCUGGAGUCAGCGUCAUUGCUACCACAUAGGUCUCUACAUACUGUUCUUUAACUGGAUAGGAGGGGUGGCGAGCUGGUAACCAUACUCCAUCAAUUCCAUCAGGCCUAUUAUGUACCCAUAAUAGGUCAAGCAGUGAGAAAAUCCUGUCUAAUAAACUACACUUGUUUGUUAUAAGAUGGCAGUAAAGAAGAUUUCUGCAUGGAAAUAAUUUCUGCAUGGAUCAUUGGAAAGAAAAAAUUGGCUGGCUUCUUAUGAGGCAGUAUUGUGAGUCCAGGCUGCAUAAUGCACCCACUCAGGAUAUUUUGAAUAACAACAGUGGUUGAGCCUAAGCCUGCUAUUGAGACUCAACUAGCCUGGGUAAUUCCCUCACCAGCAUGUUUGCUUGGUUCUUCGUUUUUCUCCUGUGAUGCUGAGGAUCAGAUCCAGGGCCUCGUGGAUUCUAGGCUCAGCUCUUUGCUGUUUCUGCACCUGGAUGCUCUCUGCAACACAUCUUCUAUCUCUUGGGCUCUACUAAGGCUGACUACACUGGAAGUUGACUGUUCUUUGUGUAGUGAGCACACCACACUCUGCUCCUGGCAAAAGCCCAGGAGUCAGUACAAAAACUACUUGGAGGAGGCGUUGUUGGAGCUUAAGCUAUAUCGUGAGGACCUACUGCUUGGAAGAUGAGAGUGCUCCUAUUAGUGAUACAUCAACAUUAGAUGUAGUGUGUGGUAGAAAUUCUCCUCCUCAAUAAUGUUGAAGACUGUCCACUGUGGUCUGCAGUGCUUGUGAGUGGGUUUCCUGGGGUGGGUCUAGGGUCAUCUGAACUAGUCAUGGCCAAAUCAGAACCUCCUGAGACAAAGCAUGGAGGUGGCCAUGACAGUUGGUGAUUUCCACCACCAGAAAGGAGUCUUUAAAGAGAAAGAGUAGCUCUAAGACUUCCUUGGACAGCCUAGAGGGUCUUUUUAAACAGUCCACAGCUGUGACUGUCCUGAUGGCAGCUUGUGGAACAGCUGAAGGGGAUGGCUGCUUGAUUGACAACUCCCGUGGUCUCUGUGAGAACACUGCUGCUGAAACCGAGAUUGCAUCCUCUGUGAGUCCUCCAGGAGUGGCCGGAUAUUGUUCACGGUCUUGGUGGACUCAAGAACCACAAAGAUGAUGACAGCAGCUCCGUCAGCUUUUGUCUCUGUCUGUCCCGAGGUAGUUACUAAGAUUCAUCCCAGGACACUGCUGUUGUGGCCAGCCAAGCAGGAACGGUUCACAGCUGCCAAUCAAGGAGCCAUGCUGCCGUCAGCAGACAGUUUAAAAAGGAACUGCAUUAAGAGAUGUUUACAGGGGCUGGAGAGAUGGCUCAGUGGUUAAGAGCACUGACUGCUCUUCUAGAGGUCCUGAGUUCUAUUCCCAGCAACCACGUGGUGGCUCACAAUCACCUCAAUGGGAUCUGAUGCCCUCUUCUGGAGUGUCUGAAGACCG